GAGUUUGAUCCUGGCUCAGAACGAACGCUGGCGGCGUGGCUAAGACAUGCAAGUCGAACGGACUGGUCAAUUUAUUGAGCAGUUAGUGGCGAAAGGGUUAGUAAUGAAUAGGUAACGUACCCUGUGCUCCGGGAUAGCGUCAUUCGCCUUCGGGCGAAUUUCCGAAAGGGGCAGUAAUACCGGAUAAUAUCAUGUGUCGAUAGGCACAUGUUCAAAGAUUUAUCGGCGCAGGAGCGGCCUAUUUCCUAUCAGCUUGUUGGUGAGGUAAAGGCCCACCAAGGCAAUGACGGGUAGCGGGACUGAGAGGUUGGCCCGCAACAUCGGGACUGAGACACUGCCCGGACCUCCACGGAGGGCUGCAGUAACGAAUCUUGCGCAAUGGGCGAAAGCCUGACGCAGCGACGCCGCGUGCGGGAAGAAGUCCUUCGGGAUGUAAACCGCUGUCAGGGGUAAGAAAGUCCACUUCGGUGGAUUGAUCUAACCCAAAGGAAGUCACGGCUAACUUCGUGCCAGCAGCCGCGGUAAGACGAAGGUGGCAAGCGUUGUUCGGUAUCACUGGGCUUAAAGCGUGUGUAGGCGGAAAAGUAAGCGUCGCGUGAAAGCCCCCGGCUUAACCGGGGAACUGCUCGACGAACUGCUUUUCUUGAGGCAAGUAGGGGUGCACGGAACUCUUGGUGGAGCGGUGGAAUGCGUAGAUAUCAAGAGGAACGCCGGUGGAGAAAUCGGUGCACUGGGCUUGUUCUGACGCUGAGACACGAAAGCGUGGGGAGCAAACGGGAUUAGAUACCCCGGUAGUCCACGCCGUAAACGAUGUCUACUAGGUUGUGGUGGUUCUGACACCAGCACGGCCGAAGCAAAAGUGAUUAGUAGACCGCCUGGGGAGUACGGUCGCAAGGCUAAAACUCAAAGGAAUUGACGGGGGCUCACACAAGCGGUGGAGCAUGUGGAUCAAUUCGAAGCAACGCGCAGAACCUUACCUGGGUUUGACAUGCUUGGAUGCUUGCCGAGAAACCGGUUAAGCUGCCCUUCGGGGUGAAACUUGCACAGGUGCUGCAUGGCUGUCGUCAGCUCGUGUCGUGAGAUGUCGGGUUA
rnacentral:rRNA from 1 species